rnacentral:rRNA from 1 species
GGGUCGUGGGAGAUGACCACGUUGAUAGGCUACAGGUGUAAAGGCAGUAAUGUCAUAGCCGAGUAGUACUAAUUACCCGUAGAUUUAUAG